rnacentral:miRNA from 14 species
AUGGUCUUGUUGGUUGGUUGGUUGGUUGGUCGGUUGGUCGGUCGGUUGGUUGGUCGGUUGGUCGGUCGGUCGGUCGGGUGG